rnacentral:rRNA from 1 species
CCUACGAGAGGCAGCAGUGAGGAAUAUUGGGCAAUGGACGCAAGUCUGAACCAGCCAUGCCGCGUGCAGGAAGACGGCCCUAUGAGUUGUAAACUGCUUUUGUACGAGGGUAAACGCAGAUACGCGUAUCUGUCUGAAAGUAUCGUACGAAUAAGGAUCGGCUAACCCCGUGCCAGGAGCCCCGGUAAUACGGAGGAUUCAAGCGUUAUCCGGAUUUAUUGGGGUUAAAGUGGGCGGAGGCGGUCGGAUAAGUUAGCGGUGAAAUCCCGAGGCUCAACUUCAGAAAUGCCUCUGAUACUGUUCGACUAGAGAGUAGUUGCGGUAGGCGGAAUGUAUGGUGUAGCGGUGAAAUGCUUAGAGAUCAUACAGAACACCGAUUGCGAAGGCAGCUUACCAAGCUACUUCUGACGUUGAGGCACGAAAGCGUGGGGAGCAAACAGGAUUAGAUACCCCUGUAGUC